rnacentral:snRNA from 1 species
UGCUCACUUCAGCAACACAUAUGCUAAAAUUGGAAAGAUAGCGAGAAAGAUAGUAUGGCUCCUGCAGAGGGAUGACACACAAUUUCAUAAAGCAUCC